GCAAGAGGAGCGGCAGACGGGAGAGUAACACGUGGGAACGUACCCUUCAGUACGGAACAACCAAGGGAAACUUUGGCUAAUACCGUAUACGUCCGUAAGGAGAAAGAUUUAUCGCUGAAGGAUCGGCCCGCGUCUGAUUAGCUAGUUGGUGAGGUAACGGCUCACCAAGGCGACGAUCAGUAGCUGGUCUGAGAGGAUGAUCAGCCUCACUGGGACUGAGACACGGCCCAGACUCCUACGGGAGGCAGCAGUGGGGAAUAUUGGACAAUGGGCGCAAGCCUGAUCCAGCCAUGCCGCGUGGGUGAUGAAGGCCCUAGGG
rnacentral:rRNA from 1 species